AACUUUUAAAACAUCUCUUUUUGAAUAAAAUAAUAAGUUUACUCUGCUCAAUGAUUAUUUAAAUAGCUGCAGUAAUUUAACUGUACAAAGGUAGCAUAAUAAAUUGUUUUUUAAUUGAAAACUUGAAUGAAUGAGUUGAUGAAAUAUACACUUUAUUAAAUUUAAAUUUUGAAAUUUAUUUUAGAGUUAAAAAGCUUUAAUAAAUUUAAGGGACGAGAAGACCCUAUAGAAUUUUAUAUUAUAUAUUAAUUUAUUGAGUUAAUAUAUUAAUAUUAAUUUGGGAGGAAUAAUAAAUUUUUAAACUUUAUUUUUAUUUUACUAUUGAUUAAUGGAUUAAAUAGAAUUUAUAAUAAAUAAUUAUUAAAUUAAAUUACCUUAGGGAUAACAGCGUAAUAUUUUUUUAAAGUUCUUAUUAAAAAAAAUGUUUGCGACCUCGGGU
rnacentral:rRNA from 1 species